UGUAGACAGAACUUUUUCCCCUUUUGUGUAUAGGGUGAUUAAAAUUUAUUUAAUGAUUUUAAAUAUCUCGAAAAUAAGGGAGCUAAAUUUAUAUUAUUUUUUUUGUAGCAAUAAAAUUAUAAAUAUAGAUUUAGAAAUUAAAUGUUAAACGAACUUAUUAAUAUCUAGUUUUUUUAGAAAUAAAUUUAAUUUAGAUAUAAUUAUUUUAGUAAAUUAAAUUUUAUUUUAAUUUAUUAAUUUUUAUAUUAAAAAUUUAUGGGAUAAUCUAUAAAUUUAAGAUAAAAAUUUAAUUUUAAUUUUUAAUGUUAUAGAGAUAAUAUUUUUCUUUAAUUUUAAUAAUUUAAUAAUUUAAUAUUUAUAAAUUAAUAAUGAUUUAAAUUUAUAUUUUAUUUUUCUAUAAAAAUUUAUAUUUUAAUUAAUAAAAUAUAGAAAUAAUGAUUAGAUUAGUAAUAAAGUUAUAUUUUAUAAUGAUAUUUUGUAUUAUAUAAUUUAAAGGAAUUCGGCAAAUAUAUUAUUCACCUGUUUAUCAAAAACAUGUCCUGUUGAUUAUAAUUUUAGGUCGAUCUGCUCAAUGAAUUAUUUUAAAUAGCUGCAGUAUGUUGACUGUACAAAGGUAGCAUAAUAAAUUGUCUUUUAAUUGAAGAAUUGUAUGAAAGAAUUAAUGAAAUAAUAACUGUCUCUAAAUUAUUAAAUGAAUUUAAAUUUUUAGUUAAAAUUCUAAAAUUUAAUUAUGGGACGAUAAGACCCUAUAGAAUUUAAUUUAAUUUUUAAAUUUAUUUAUAAUUUUAAUAAAUAUAUUUAAGAUUAAAUUUGAUUGGGAGGAUUGGUAAAUUUAAUAAACUUUAUUUAAGAUUUAAUUUUGAUAUAAAGAUAAUUUUUUGAAUUAUAAAUUGUAAUUAAAAGAAUAAAUUACCUUAGGGAUAACAGCGUAAUAUCUUUUGAUAGACCAUAUAGAUAAAGAUGUUGCACCCCCCCGAUGUUGGAUUUUUUUAAAAAAAAAUUAAUAAAAAAGGAAG
rnacentral:rRNA from 1 species